GGUAAGGAGGCUUCAUCAACAUGAUAAAUAUUUUUUUAAUUAUGAAAAUAUCAGCUUGCAAAAUCGUUUUAUGAAAGUUUGAAUUUUAGUAUGAUUUUGCACGAAAAUCGAACUUUUUUUCUGAUAUCUCAUCAAAUUUGGGUAUUUUUUAAAAACCGGAUUUUUUAGGGAAUUCUCACUUCUUUAAUGUAGUGAACGAGGGUGUAUACUUCAUUGUUUUCCUUACGGGAAAGCAGCUAAUAUUUUUUUUAAUCGUCAAAAUUCGUCCUUGAAUAUCGCAUUUUCGGCGACAUUUUGACUCAAAAACGCAUGUGACUCGCGGUGAACAUCAGGAAAUGUACACUGGGAAGUGGCUGAAUGAGUACGAAAUGCUGAAUCUUUCAGGAAAUAGAGGAUUUUGUGCUUCUAUUAUGUCUUGUGGGAGUCAAGAAACCUCGGAUCUGCCAUUAUAAACCACGUACAACGACAUGUCAUGGCUUGCUUGCAAACCGAUACUCGUGGGAAGAAAUUUGACACCGCACGGACCACGCGGUGAAGUCGCCAGGCAUCACGGGCACCGUGCAGUCUGCAACAGCGUGCCGGGAGUUGGAGCUCGCGCCCCCACAACACACAUCGCUUUUGACUGGUGGUUAUACCGUCGCUUUGGAGUCGAGUUUUGAGAGCUAUACGGCUGUAUGGAGAUGCUUUGAGUGUCGUCCGGGGACUGUCGUUCCUUCUGAUGAUGAUCAUGCAGACUUCUACAAGGAAUCUACAAUGCCUGAAUCUACAAGAUGACAUGAUGAAGGACACUAUGAAGAAAAGAACUAUGACCAGCCUUUAACAAAAUUAAUUCAAGAAUAACCCUUUUAUAUAAUUGAAAUAUAUUUUUAACUUGUUCCUAUUGUAAUCAUAAUAAAGACCUUUAUAAAAUAAAAUGUAAAUUUUAACAAACAUCUUGGGUCAAGCCUCUUCAAACGCUGGCAUUGGAGUUAAUUUAAAGAUUGUAGUAAGAGUUUAAUAUUAAAUUCCAGUGAUUUACUAAUAAACAAUUGAUUUGUUAAUUAUUUGCGAAUUCUGAGGGUAGGAGAUUCAUGAACUAUGCCCAAAAAGGCAAAAUACUCAAACAGGAGAGAGUUUGAAACUAAAAAUUGCAAUGGUGGACAAGGUUUGGCUUAAUGUAAAGAAGGGGAAAAUGGCAAAUUUUACUUUAAAAAUGGUAGCAAUUAAAAUAAAAAGCUUAUAAUCUAAUAAUUACUAUUUGUACUUCUCAAUUGGAAUGGAUUAUCUUGU
rnacentral:lncRNA from 1 species